GACGAACGCUGGCGGCGUGCUUAACACAUGCAAGUCGAACGGAAAGGCCCUGCUUUUGUGGGGUGCUCGAGUGGCGAACGGGUGAGUAACACGUGAGUAACCUGCCCUUGACUUUGGGAUAACUUCAGGAAACUGGGGCUAAUACCCGAUAGGAGCUCCUGCUGCAUGGUGGGGGUUGGAAAGUUUCGGCGGUUGGGGUUGGACUCGCGGCUUAUCAGCUUGUUGGUGGGGUAGUGGCUUACCAAGGCUUUGACGGGUAGCCGGCCUGAGAGGGUGACCGGCCACAUUGGGACUGAGAUACGGCCCAGAAUCCUACGGGAGGCAGCAGUGGGGAAUAUUGCACAAUGGGCGGAAGCCUGAUGCAGCAACGCCGCGUGCGGGAUGACGGCCUUCGGGUUGUAAACCGCUUUCGCCUGUGACGAAGCGUGAGUGACGGUAAUGGGUAAAGAAGCACCGGCUAACUACGUG
rnacentral:rRNA from 1 species